rnacentral:tRNA from 1 species
AUCAGGAUGGCCGAGUGGUUAAGGCGUUGGACUUAAGAUCCAAUGGGCAAAUGCCCGCGUGGGUUCGAACCCCACUCCUGGUA